rnacentral:rRNA from 1 species
ACUCUCGGCAACGGAUAUCUCGGCUCUCGCAUCGAUGAAGAACGUAGCAAAAUGCGAUACCUGGUGUGAAUUGCAGAAUCCCGCGAACCAUCGAGUUUUUGAACGCAAGUUGCGCCCGAAGCCUUCUAGCGGAGGGCACGUCUGCCUGGGCGUCACGCCAAAAGACACUCCCAACACCCCCCGCGGGGCGAGGGACGUGGCGUCUGGCCCCCCACGCCGCAGGGCAAGGUGGGCUGAAGCUGGGGCUACCGGCGAAACGCGCCGGGCGCAGCACGUGGUGGGCGACAUCAAGUUGUUCUCGGUGCAGCGUCCCGGCGCGCGGCCGGCCAUUCGGCCCUAAGGACCCAUCGAGCGACCGAGCUUGCUCUCGGACCGCGACCCCAGGUCAGUCAGGACUACCCGCUGAGUUUAAGCAUAUAAAUAAGCGGAGGAGAAGAAACUUACGAGGAUUCCCCUAGUAACGGCGAGCGAACCGGGAGCAGCCCAGCUUGAGAAUCGGGCGGCCUCGCCGCCCGAAUUGUAGUCUGGAGAGGCGUCCUCAGCGACGGACCGGGCCCAAGUUCUCUAGAAAGGGACGCCUGGGAGGGUGAGAGCCCCGUCCGGCCAGGACCCUGUCGCACCACGAGGCACCGUCAACGAGUCGGGUUGUUUGGGAAUGCAGCCCAAAUCUGGCGGUAAACUCCGUCCAAGGCUAAAUACAGGCGAGAGACCGCUAGCGAACAAGUACCGCGAGGGAAAGAUGAAAAGGACUUUGAAAAGAGAGUCAAAGAGUGCUUGAAAUUGCCGGGAGGGAAGCGGAUGGGGGCUGGCGACGCGCACCGGCCGUAUGCGGAACGGCUCCUGCUGGUUCGCCGAUCGGCUCGGGGCGUGGACCGUUGUCGCCCGCGCCGGCGGCCAAAGCCCGGGGGCCCUAGGCGCCCCCGGUAGCCGUCGUCGGCGCGGACGGUAUCCGCGCGCCUCUGGCGCGCCCCUCGGGGCACUGCGCCGCAACGGCCUGCGAGCUCCCCAUCCGACCCGUCUUGAAACACGGACCAAGGAGUCUGACAUGCGUGCGAGUCGACGGGUUCAGAAACCUGAGAUGCGCAAGGAAGCUGACGAGCGGGAGGCCCUCACGAGCCGCACCGCUGGCCGACCCUGAUCUUCUGUGAAGGGUUCGAGUUGGAGCACGCCUGUCGGGACCCGAAUGAUGGUGAACUAUGCCUGAGCGGGGCGAAGCCAGAGGAAACUCUGGUGGAGGCUCGAAGCGAUACUGACGUGCAAAUCGUUCGUCUGACUUGGGUAUAGGGGCGAAAGACUAAUCGAACCAUCUAGUAGCUAGUUCCCUCCGAAGUUUCCCUCAGGAUAGCUGGAGCCCACACGAGUUCUAUCGGGUAAAGCCAAUGAUUAGAGGCAUCGGGGGCGCAACGCCCUCGACCUAUUCUCAAACUUUAAAUAGGUAGGACGGCGCGGCUGCUUCGGUGAGCCGUGCCACAGAAUCGGGAGCUCCAAGUGGGCCAUUUUUGGUAAGCAGAACUGGCGAUGCGGGAUGAACCGGAAGCCGGGUUACGGUGCCAAACUGCGCGCUAACCUAGAACCCACAAAGGGUGUUGGUCGAUUAAGAUAGCAGGACGGUGGUCAUGGAAGUCGAAAUCCGCUAAGGAGUGUGUAACAACUCACCUGCCGAAUCAACUAGCCCCGAAAAUGGAUGGCGCUGAAGCGCGCGACCCACACCCGGCCAUCUGGGCGAGCGACAUGCCCCGAUGAGUAGGAGGGCGCGGCGGCCGCCGCAAAACCCGGGGCGCGAGCCCGGGCGGAGCGGCCAUCGGUGCAGAUCUUGGUGAUAGUAGCAAAUAUUCAAAUGAGAACUUUGAAGGCCGAAGAGGAGAAAGGUUCCAUGUGAACGGCACUUGCACAUGGGUAAGCCGAUCCUAAGGGACGGGGGAAACCCGGCAGAUAGCGCGAUCACACGCGUCACCCGAAAGGGAAUCGGGUUAAGAUUUCCCGAGCCGGGACGUGGCGGCAGACGGCGACGUUAGGAAGUCCGGAGACGCCGGCGGGGGCCUCGGGAAGAGUUAUCUUUUCUGCUUAAUGGCCCGCCAACCCUGGAAUCGGUUCAGCCGGAGGUAGGGUCCAGCGGCCGGAAGAGCACCGCACAUCGCGCGGUGUCCGGUGCGCCCCCGGCGGCCCUUGAAAAUCCGGAGGACCGAAUACCGUCCACGCCCGGUCGUACUCAUAACCGCAUCAGGUCUUGUUGGGGGCCUUCGUCCUCCGAAGGUCCUCAAAAACAUGAUUUGACAAUGUUUUCCGAGUGGAUUAUGUGAACAGGUAUUUUCGGAUCCAGAAUUAUGAAUAUGGAGCACGGCCAGGACGAAGCCUGAACCAGACGAAGGUCGAGUGUAGCCGAAGCUGUGCGCAGGGAAGCUUCGGCGCGAUGGCAGAAGGGGGAACCGACUUAAAGAUGAAAAGACUUCGGGGGCCUCGACAGAUUUCCAUAAGCCGUUAACAAAUGUAAUGGACAUGGAUGUAAUUUUUCGUGGGCUGCGUCCCGCGUCUAUAAAUAGAUGAACAGUACUCCCGUACUGUUCACGCUGACUUGGCAUUGGCUUUUGCAUCACGCUUGUACUUUUUACCUUCUCUCAGGACCAAAGGUACAUUUGCAAUUUAAAAUCAUUUCUAUUUCUCCAUGUUAAUAAAAUAGAAAUGAUUUUAUGUUGAUGUUUGUAUUUCAUGCUUUAUAUGAAUCCUUCGGCAUUAUUUAUUAUAUUCCCGAAGGUAUGUCUAUGAUAACCUUCGUCCUAAAUCAUUAUUUCCCGAAGGGACACAAUGUUUCGAAGGACGAAGGACCUUAAUGUGUAACACUUUUUAUGUUGCCUUGUUCUUAAUUCGAAGCAUUUGAGAACAAGUCACCAACAUUGGCGCCCACCUC